AACCAGCAACCUAUCUCCGCCUGUCCGGUCUCCGAGCUCCGCCUCCAGUUUGUAAAUUUGAAUGAUUCAUGACUGUAUCAGUUGGAAGCAGUCUGCUAGAAACUGUUAAUUCCGUCUGAGAUGCGUGGCUACCAUGGUGUCUAUAACUUGGAAAAGAAGGGCGAGUAUUACACCCGGGAAAGUGUUGAUUGUAUUGGCCGAAAGUUUUAAGGGAAAGAGAGUUGUUUUUCAUAAGCAACUUUUAUCUGGCUUGCUUAUUGUUACUGGUCAGCUUCACUUCCAUUUUCUCUUACAAAAAUAUUGAGUUUUGUUCUUCCUUUUCUGUAUGUUAUGUGAAACUUAUUACCUCUUAUCCUUUUCUGCUCUAUUCAUGGUAUGAAUUGUUCGAUUAUGAUCAUUUGGAUAUGAAAUUGUUAUUGUUUUUGAAGAGUUUUGUUUAUGUAUUUGGUUUUGGUGUAAAUUGUAGACGUGGAUUCCGUACAAAGGGCAAAACUCGGAAGCUAGGGUUUUU